GGAAAGGUUUGGGGAAGGUGAUGAGGAAGUAGGGCUGGAGGGUGUGGGGAGACCCGGACAGUUAUCUGUCCUCCGCUUCUCUGGAAGGCUUUUUUCAAUUCAUUUCCCAGGAGUUCAUCUUAAGAGCGCUGCCAUUCAGGAUGGAUCCAGCGAUUCAUUGCUUUGAAACAUGCUUUGCAAGCCUGAAUUGAAGAAAGUUCUCAGAAAAACAAAGGUGGCCAGAGUAUGGAGAGGCCUGCAAAUAAGACGAAGAGAGAACAGGACCUCUGAGCCCCAGUGGGAGAGGUUUGAGGUAAGGUUUGGGGCAGGGAAGGUUGCGGAGCCUUAACCAGCAGAGAAGUUAAGGGGCUUAAGUUUUGGACCUGGGUGUAAAGGGAGUGUUACUGAC
rnacentral:lncRNA from 1 species